UGGGGAAUUUUGGACAAUGGGGGCAACCCUGAUCCAGCAAUGCCGCGUGUGUGAAGAAGGCCUUCGGGUUGUAAAGCACUUUUGUCCGGAAAGAAAACUUCGGGGCUAAUACCCCUGGAGGAUGACGGUACCGGAAGAAUAAGCACCGGCUAACUACGUGCCAGCAGCCGCGGUAAUACGUAGGGUGCGAGCGUUAAUCGGAAUUACUGGGCGUAAAGCGUGCGCAGGCGGUGCUGUAAGACCGAUGUGAAAUCCCCGGGCUUAACCUGGGAACUACAUUGGUGACUGCAGCGCUGGAGUAUGGCAGCGGGGGGUGGAAUUCCACGUGUAGCAGUGAAAUGCGUAGAGAUGUGGAGGAACACCGAUGGCGAAGGCAGCCCCCUGGGCCAAUACUGACGCUCAUGCACGAAAGCGUGGGGAGCAAACAGG
rnacentral:rRNA from 1 species